rnacentral:rRNA from 1 species
AUUCCAGCUCCAAUAGCGUAUAUUAAAGUUGUUGCGGUUAAAAAGCUCGUAGUUGGAUUUCUGCCGAGGAUGACCGGUCCGCCCUGUGGGUGUGCAUCUGGCUCAGCCUUGGCAUCUUCCUGAAGAACGUAGCUGCACUUGACUGUGUGGUGCGGUAUUUAGGACAUUUACUUUGAGGAAAUUAGAGUGUUUCAAGCAAGCGCACGCUUUGAAUACAUUAGCAUGGAAUAAUAAGAUAGGACCUCGGUUCUAUUUUGUUGGUUUCUAGAGCUGAGGUAAUGAUUGAUAGGGAUAGUUGGGGGCAUUCGUAUUUAAUUGACAGAGGUGAAAUUCUUGGAUUAACGGAAGAUGAACUUCUGCGAAAGCAUCUGCCAAGGAUGUUUUCAUUA